ACAAAGAAGAGUUUGAUCCUGGCUCAGGAUGAACGCUAGCGGCAGGCUUAACACAUGCAAGUCGAGGGGCAGCGGGGUAGCAAUACUGCCGGCGACCGGCGCACGGGUGAGUAACAGGUAUGCAAUCUGCCGUCAACUGUGGGAUAACCCGUCGAAAGACGGCCUAACACCGCAUAAGACCACACAGGGGCCUCCCUGAGGGGUAAAAUGUUUACAGGUUGGCGAUGAGCAUGCUUAUCAUUAGGUAGUUGGUAGGGUAACGGCCUACCAAGCCGACGAUGAUUAGGGGUUCUGAGAGGAAGGUCCCCCACACUGGUACUGAGACACGGACCAGACUCCUACGGGAGGCAGCAGUGAGGAAUAUUGGUCAAUGGGCGAGAGCCUGAACCAGCCAUGCCGCGU
rnacentral:rRNA from 1 species